GACGAACGCUGGCGGCGUGCCUAAUACAUGCAAGUCGAACGCUGAAGGAGGAGCUUGCUUCUCUGGAUGAGUUGCGAACGGGUGAGUAACGCGUAGGUAACCUGCCUGGUAGCGGGGGAUAACUAUUGGAAACGAUAGCUAAUACCGCAUAAUAGUAGAUGUUGCAUGACAUUUGCUUAAAAGGUGCAAUUGCAUCACUACCAGAUGGACCUGCGUUGUAUUAGCUAGUUGGUGGGGUAACGGCUCACCAAGGCGACGAUACAUAGCCGACCUGAGAGGGUGAGCGGCCACACUGGGACGGAGACACGGCCCAGACGCCUACGGGAGGCAGCAGGAGGGAUACUUCGGCAAUGGAUGGAAGUCUGACCGAGAAACGCCGCGGGAGUGAAGAAGGUUGUCGGAUCGUAAAGCUCCGUUGUAAGAGAAGAACGAGUGUGAGAGUGGAAAGUUCACAGUGUGACGGUAUCUUACCAGAAAGGGACGGCUAACUACGUG
rnacentral:rRNA from 1 species